rnacentral:rRNA from 1 species
AGCGAACGCUGGCGGCAGGCCUAACACAUGCAAGUCGAACGGAUCCUUCGGGAUUAGUGGCGGACGGGUGAGUAACACGUGGGAACGUGCCUUUUGGUUCGGAAUAACUCAGGGAAACCUGAGCUAAUACCGAAUGUGCCCUUCGGGGGAAAGAUUUAUCGCCAUUAGAGCGGCCCGCGUCUGAUUAGCUAGUUGGUAGGGUAAAGGCCUACCAAGGCUACGAUCAGUAGCUGGUCUGAGAGGAUGAUCAGCCACACUGGGACUGAGACACGGCCCAGACUCCUACGGGAGGCAGCAGUGGGGAAUCUUGCGCAAUGGGCGAAAGCCUGACGCAGCCAUGCCGCGUGAAUGAUGAAGGUCUUAGGAUUGUAAAAUUCUUUCACCGGGGACGAUAAUGACGGUACCCGGAGAAGAAGCCCCGGCUAACUUCGUGCCAGCAGCCGCCGUAAAAC